CUUGUCCAAAGGAUCGAACAGAAUCCAUAGAUGACACAUCUAGAUUGAUCCAUUCUACUGAACCAGUUGGGAAUCCAGCUUUCUCUACAGAUUUCAGCAAUAGGUCUUUGCUUGGACCAUCUCUGCAACCUACUCACAGUAUAAUUCAACUAGCCCUUUAACAGUGUACCAUCCAAUACCACGAUUUCCACCUGUGAUGACAGCAUAUUCCUUUUCUCUCUUCAAUGGAUCUGGAACAAAAGAGGACAGUGUGCAAUAUUAGGAAUAGAAAUCUAUACGAACAUACACAACACUUUUUUUAUUUGAUACAUUGUUAAUGGGGUUCUGCAACUGACAAGUCGUCGCUUCACCCAAGAAAUUUCCCCCCAUAUUCGGUUUAUACUGAAAUUCCUAGAGGAUAUCGGGUAAAAAGCUCCACAUAUCACAGUAUACUCUAGUGUCGCGUAUUUUUUCGGCCAUCAGUGUUGGAUAAAAUAGAUUUCUCUUUGGUAAUUUCUGUAGAAAGCCAGAUUACGGAAAACUCCUUUGAAAGGUCUAGAGGGUUGUUGCCUAAACCAACUACAUAACCAUAAGGGAAAAAAAAAAAAAAAAAACCAACAGUACCUUCUAAUGGUCGAAUGGAACUGAAAGCCUCCGAAAGUAGGAACUUCGUGCUAAGGAUUAACAUUUUAACAAACAUAAAAAUAUCGACGAAAAUAUUACUACAACAACCCAUUUCUGAAGGAUUUGGCAUGUGCACGUCUUACUACAAGACCACUCAGAAUACAAGUGAUAGCAAAAGAAUCGAACGGCCUUUAGAGUAGCCUUACCCGUAGGCUUAAAUUGACGAGAGAAAGUUUAGGGAGUAAUGCUCUCGCUUUCUCUUUUUCUUCAUCCUCGUCAUGGAGAGAGGCAAGGCGAAUAGAAAGUAUUCGGCAGAUGGUGCGGAUAUUAAAUGGUUACAUGUCUCUGGAAAGCGUAGCGAUAAAAGUAGCCUCAAGUUGGACUGUGAAGAAAAGAAGUGUCUUCUGGAGUACGAUGUGUGAAACAUUCUUUUUUUCUCUUCCUUUUAAUACAUCGAAUAUUAUACUGAAAUAAAGGGAAUAGAUAAAAAGAUGCGAAUUCAUAGGAAUUUUUUUUUAAACAUCUCUCUUCUAGAAUCGAGUAAAUACCGUAUCGUAAUUUAAUUUAAUUAUCAAUCUUUGAUUUACAGCCAUUAUACUUCAGCUUCAGGACCUCGUGAAAUGUUAACCCUGUAUAAAUCAGCUUUUAAAUGUUUACUUAAAAAUACAGUUUUUUAUAGCUGAUAAAAACAAUAAUACAAAAACACACACACACAAAAUAAUAAUGAUAACAGUCAUAUAGGGAGGCGGAGGUCCCUCUAUUUCUAUGACUCUGCCAGAAUAAUAGAUUAGAGGUCUUAUCUUAGUCUAAUCAGAGUCAUAGAUUACAAAAAAUAAUGUAAUCUCUGGCUCUGCUAAGUGCUAACUGCUGGCAAUAAAUAAAUUUCUUUGUUCCCUGAAUGACCGCUAGAUGUUCGGCAACGUAGGAAAACAAUUUCAGGGCAGACAGCUUCUCAAAACUCAAGUGUCGUGUGUCACGGUUCUUGUGAUAUCUUUAGUUACAUUGUUUGUGCUGUACACGUCAAAUCUAGAAAUAAAAAUCUUUAAUAUAGGGUCCUGGCUGUUAUUUGUAACUAAUGGCAACACUCAAUUUUCGUCUGCAGAGCUGUUUCUUAUCACCAUUUGAAUUCGAUGCUCGUCUUCCAUGCAGAGAGAGAAGCCGUUAGCUGGCUUCUCAAAACCGCAAAACAAAAUAGCAAAACUUCCAUCAAAACCACCAUUCAAAUGACAUAGCCAUGUGUAGCAACGGCAGAAAUCAUCUGCCAUUCUUGAAUGUAAAAUGAAAUCAAAGCCAGUGAAGCAAACUUACGCGAAAUUGAGCAGACGAUAGCGAAGAAUAUGUGGACAGUGAAAGAAGACAUUCCAACCCAUGGUUAUCCUGUUUUCAGCCUUUUACAGAAUUUUUGAGAAUGAAAUCUGCUUUGGCUGAUGCCUCAGUUGACAAGCUAUUCUGUAGGGAUUUUAACAAUACUUGAUGUGAGGUUUUAUUAGAAUUACAGAAGAUUUUACCAGGAGCUUCAGAAGAACAUGCUGAUAGAUUGAUUGGAAGGAUUUCUUGGAGGAUUGUCAAUAAAAAUUUUCAUAAUCUAA